ACGAACGCUGGCGGCGUGCUUAACACAUGCAAGUCGAACGGUGAAGCGCCUUCCUUUUUGGUGGGUGUGGAUGAGUGGCGAACGGGUGAGUAACACGUGAGUAACCUGCCCCCUUCUUCUGGAUAACCGCAUGAAAGUGUGGCUAAUACGGGAUAUUCUGGGUCUGUCGCAUGAUGGGUCUGGGAAAGAUAUUGUUUCGGUGGGGGAUGGGCUCGCGGCCUAUCAGCUUGUUGGUGGGGUGAUGGCCUACCAAGGCGGUGACGGGUAGCCGGCCUGAGAGGGUGGACGGUCACACUGGGACUGAGACACGGCCCAGACUCCUACGGGAGGCAGCAGUGGGGAAUAUUGCACAAUGGGCGCAAGCCUGAUGCAGCGACGCCGUGUGAGGGAUGGAGGCCUUCGGGUUGUGAACCUCUUUCGCCAGUGAAGCAGGCCUGCCUCGUUUGUGGGUGGGUUGACGGUAGCUGGAUAAGAAGCGCCGGCUAACUACGUG
rnacentral:rRNA from 1 species